rnacentral:lncRNA from 1 species
CUGAGAAUCACGUAGAGGUUGGAAAACUACCUUGCAACCAGCAACCUGUUUUUGCAAAUAAAGUUUUAUUGGAACACAGCCAUAAUCCAUCAUUCAGAUAUUGUUUGUGGCUACUUCCCUUUUAACCAGCAGAGUUGGUAGUUACGACAGAGACAAUAUGGCCUGCAAAGCCUGAUUCUGUCAAAUGACUAGACUAGAUUUCCCAUACUAGGGAGCAUAGCCUAGAUUUUUUUUCUUUUCUUUUUUUUUUUGAGACAGAAUCUCACUGACACGCAGGCUGGAGUACAAUGGUGGGUUCUCAGCUCACUGCAACCUCCACCUUCUGGGCUCAAGUGAUCUCCCAACCUCAGCCUGCUGAGUAGCUGGGACCACGAGCAUAUGGCAACAUGUGCAACUAACUUUUGUAUUUUUUUUUUUUUGUUAAUUAUUAUUUUUUGAGACCGAGUCUCACUCUGUCUCAAAAAAAAAAUUUUUUUUUAAAAGACAGUGUCAUUUGAUGGAGUUGCUUUCUUGAUCGUUGGCUGCAAUGAAAGACCUAGCCUCACUGUCUUUUGUGUUGCCUUGGACCGGCUCUUAGGUUCUACUGCCCUAACAGGCAGUGGAGGCUGGCCUCGAGUGGUAGUCAUCCAUCUUGCCCUCUUUUCCUACCCUCUACCCCCAACCCCCGAGCUGCUCUCCUGUCUCCUUCCAACACUGUUCUCUUUGGGAAUAUGCAUGUCCAACUUCCCAAGCAGUCUGGGAUCUGGAGUAAGAUGACUCUUGGUUUAAUGGAGUUUUUCCACAGUGCUUGCAUGUGCCCCAAGGGUUUGGAAGGUUGGAGAACUAACAAAAAGCAAAGCGCCAUCCUGUGUCGUUUCGGCAGGUCUGUGUUCUGUUAAAAUAUGGAAGAAUUAACAGAAGAACGAAGAAAUAAGGGCAGAAACUCCACAGGGGAGUACUUGUCUAACCCUGAAAAAGUUCAAGGCUGUUGUUCAAGGUCUGAAUUUUUCCCUUGAGAUUUGCUUGUAGUCCUUAAAGUCAUCUUCAGAUCUAUCUGAUCAAGGCAGCAUCCGCGGAAAAUUAUAAGGUGGGUGGCUGCACUGGAGCCUGUCCUGGCUCAGGGGAGCCGGUGAAGAGUGAUUUUUUUCCCUUGGCGUUGGGGGAUCAGAGGGGGUGCCCUCUGCUAUGCAGGAAGCCCUCCUUGCCCACUAGAUAGUUGUCAUUCCUCAGGAGAUACUCUGUGAGGGGCCGGUGUGUUUUCUCCAUCUUGGCACUUACCCUCAGACCCUCCUAAAUACCCGGGAGGGCCGUGUUUUUCAUCGGAGGUUGAAAUGGAACCUCCCCCUGGGUGCCCGGGGAGAGUACCUUGGGGGCAGCGCCCCUCCUUCCGGAGGGCAGCAUCCCGGCGGGGGCGGGGGCUCGGCUUUGAUGCCAGGGCACCUUUUGUCCCUGGAGACGCUCUGCCAGCCAGGUGCGUGGAGGGAGUGCAGCCCGCCCUCCGGGGCGACGCGCGGGGCUGGGGCGGGCCGGCGGCUCCGGGGAGUGGCGGUCGGGAGCCCGCGAACGCGGGUGGGCGCCGUCGCCUCACUAACCGGGCGCCUCCGGGAAAUCCGGGCGGGGUCCGCCGCUCGCACAUAGGAUUAGCGUCCUCUAAACUCCAUCCCUGGGAAAAGCCGCCGCACUUCUCACCCAAACUCGCGGAGCCGAGGGGUUGGGCAGGGGUUGGGCGGGCGCGGGGGCCGCCGAGGCGGAUCCGGGAACGGGUGGACCCGGG